GCGCACCAGUCGAGAAUCCUCCACAAUGGGGGAAACCCUGAUGGAGCGACGCCGCGUGCGGGAUGAAGGCCCUAUGGGUUGUAAACCGCUGUUCAGUGGAAAGAACAUCCUCCGGCUGAAUAGGUCGGAGGCCUGACGUUACCACUGCAGAAAGUCCCGGCCAACUCCGUGCCAGCAGCCGCGGUAAUACGGGGGGGACAGCGUUGUCCGGAAUCAUUGGGGCGUAAAGGGCGCGUAGGCGGCGAGGAAAGUCGAAUGUGAAAUCUUGCGGCUCAACUGCAAAACUGCGUUCGAAGCUUCCUCGCUUAGAGUAUGAGAGAGGUGUGCGGAAUUCC
rnacentral:rRNA from 1 species